rnacentral:rRNA from 1 species
GACGAACGCUGGCGGCGUGCUUAACACAUGCAAGUCGAACGGAAAGGCCCUGCUCUUGUGGGGUGCUCGAGUGGCGAACGGGUGAGUAACACGUGAGUAACCUGCCCUUGACUUUGGGAUAACUUCAGGAAACUGGGGCUAAUACCGGAUAGGAGCUCCUGCUGCAUGGGGGGGGUUGGAAAGUUUCGGCGGUUGGGGAUGGACUCGCGGCUUAUCAGCUUGUUGGUGGGGUAGUGGCUUACCAAGGCUUUGACGGGUAGCCGGCCUGGGAGGGUGACCGGCCACAUUGGGCCUGAGGUACGGCCCAGACUCCUACGGGAGGCAGCGGUGGGGACUAUUGCGCAAUGGGCGGAAGCCUGAUUCAGCAACGCCGGGUGCGGGAUGACGGCCUUCGGGUUGUAAACCGCUUUCGCCUGUGACGAAGCGUGAGUGACGGUACUGGGUAAAGAAGCACCGGCUAACUACGU